UGGCUCAGGACGAACGCUGGCGGCGUGCCUAACACAUGCAAGUCGAACGGAGCAGAGACUCGGUUUUUGCUUAGUGGCGAACGGGUGAGUAACGCGUGAGAAACCUGCCUUUCAGUGGGGGACAACAGUUGGAAACGACUGCUAAUACCGCAUAAUGUUAUUUGGGGGCAUCCCUGAAUAACCAAAGAUUUAUCGGUGAUAGAUGGGCUCGCGUCUGAUUAGCUAGUUGGUGAGGUAACGGCCCACCAAGGCGACGAUCAGUAGCCGACCUGAGAGGGUGAUCGGCCACAUUGGAACUGAGAAACGGUCCAAACUCCUACGGGAGGCAGCAGUGGGGAAUAUUGGGCAAUGGGCGCAAGCCUGACCCAGCAACGCCGCGUGAAGGAAGAAGGUCUUCGGAUCGUAAACUUCUAUCCUUGGUGAAGAUAAUGACGGUAGCCGAGAAGGAAGCCCCGGCUAACUACGUG
rnacentral:rRNA from 1 species